CGCGGCCUAUCAGCUUGUUGGUGAGGUAAAGGCUCACCAAGGCAUUGACGGGUAGCUGGUCUGAGAGGACGAUCAGCCACACUGGGACUGAGACACGGCCCAGACUCCUGCGGGAGGCAGCAGUGGGGAAUCUUGCGCAAUGGGCGAAAGCCUGACGCAGCAGCGCCGCGUGGGGGAUGAAGGCUCUCGGGUUGUAAACCCCUUUCAGCAGGGACGAAAUUGACGGUACCUGUAGAAGAAGCCCCGGCCAACUACGUGCCAGCAGCCGCGGUAACACGUAGGGGGCGAGCGUUGUCCGGAAUUAUUGGGCGUAAAGGGCUCGUAGGCGGUUCGGUAAGUCAGAUGUGAAAGGUUGGGGCUCAACCCUAAGACUGCAUUUGAUACUGCCGUGACUAGAGUCCGGUAGAGGAGUGUGGAAUUCCUGGUGUAGCGGUGAAAUGCGCAGAUAUCAGGAGGAACACCGACGGCGAAGGCAGCACUCUGGGCCGGUACUGACGCUGAGGAGCGAAAGCGUGGGUAGCAAACAGGAUUAGAUACCCUGGUAGUCCACGCCGUAAACGUUGGGCACUAGGUGUGGGACCUUAUCAACGGGUUCCGUGCCGUAGCUAACGCAUUAAGUGCCCCGCCUGGGGAGUACGG
rnacentral:rRNA from 1 species